AGAAUAUUUAAAGUUAAUAAGGAAACUUCUAAUUUCCUCUAAAGCGGUUAAACUCCGUUUAUAUUCUA
rnacentral:tRNA from 1 species